GGACCCGCACAAGCGGUGGAUUAUGUGGAUUAAUUCGAUGCAACGCGAAAAACCUUACCUACCCUUGACAUGUCCGGAAGCCUGGUGAGAGCUGGGUGUGCCCGAAAGGGAACCGGAACACAGGUGCUGCAUGGCUGUCGUCAGCUCGUGUCGUGAGAUGUUGGGUUAAGUCCCGCAACGAGCGCAACCCUUGUCAUUAGUUGCUACAUUCAGUUGGGCACUCUAAUGAGACUGCCGGUGACAAACCGGAGGAAGGUGGGGAUGACGUCAAGUCCUCAUGGCCCUUAUGGGUAGGGCUUCACACGUAAUACAAUGGCGCGUACAGAGGGCUGCUAAGCCGCGAGGUAGAGCCAAUCCCUUAAAGCGCGUCGUAGUCCGGAUUGCAGUCUGCAACUCGACUGCAUGAAGUCGGAAUCGCUAGUAAUCGCGGAUCAGCAUGUCGCGGUGAAUACGUUCCCGGGUCUU
rnacentral:rRNA from 1 species